rnacentral:rRNA from 1 species
UACAGAGGUCUCAAGCGUUGUUCGGAAUCACUGGGCGUAAAGGGUGCGUAGGCGGGGUUUAAGUCAGGGGUGAAAUGCCGGAGGCUCAACUUCGGAACUGCCUUUGAUACUGGAACUCUUGAGUCUGGGAGAGGUGAGUGGAACUGCGAGUGUAGAGGUGAAAUUCGUAGAUAUUCGCAAGAACACCAGUGGCGAAGGCGGCUCACUGGCCCGGAACUGACGCUGAGGCACGAAAGCGUGGGGAGCAACAGG